AUACGGAGGAUGCGAGCGUUAUCCGGAUUUAUUGGGUUUAAAGGGAGCGUAGGCGGACGCUUAAGUCAGUUGUGAAAGUUUGCGGCUCAACCGUAAAAUUGCAGUUGAUACUGGUAGUCUUGAGUGCAGCAGAGGUAGGCGGAAUUCGUGGUGUAGCGGUGAAAUGCUUAGAUAUCACGAAGAACUCCGAUUGCGAAGGCAGCUUACUGGACUGUAACUGACGCUGAUGCUCGAAAGUGUGGGUAUCAAACAGGAUUAGAUACCCUGGUAGUCCACACAGUAAACGAUGAAUACUCGCUGUUUGCGAUAUACAGCAAGCGGCCAAGCGAAAGCAUUAAGUAUUCCACCUGGGGAGUACGCCGGCAACGGUGAAACUCAAAGGAAUUGACGGGG
rnacentral:rRNA from 1 species